rnacentral:rRNA from 1 species
UACAGAGGGUGCGAGCGUUGUUCGGAAUUAUUGGGCGUAAAGCGUGCGCAGGCGGUGAUGUAAGACAGUUGUGAAAUCCCCGGGCUUAACCUGGGAACUGCAUUUGUGACUGGCGGGCUAGAGUAUGGCAGAGGGGGGGUAGAAUUCCACGUGUAGCAGUGAAAUGCGUAGAGAUGUGGAGGAACACCGAUGGCGAAGGCAGCCCCCUGGGUCAAGAUUGACGCUCAUGCACGAAAGCGUGGGGAGCAAACAGG